GGAGCCUCGUUCGGGAGGGGAUACUGGCGGCGGGAGGUAGCGGGUGGUCAAUGUGCCGUGCGCGCUGGGACAAGCCCUGGUGACGGGGUCUAAUGCCGGAUAACACUGCGGAUGGCAUGGGCUGCGGUUGAAAGCUCCGGCGGUGCAGGAUGAGCCCGCGGCCUAUCAGCUUGUUGGUGGGGUGAUGGCCUACCAAGGCGACGACGGGUAGCCGGCCUGAGAGGGCGACCGGCCACACUGGGACUGAGACACGGCCCAGACUCCUACGGGAGGCAGCAGUGGGGAAUAUUGCACAAUGGGCGAAAGCCUGAUGCAGCGACGCCGCGUGAGGGAUGACGGCCUUCGGGUUGUAAACCUCUUUCAGCAGGGAAGAAGCGAAAGUGACGGUACCUGCAGAAGAAGCGCCGGCUAACUACGUGCCAGCAGCCGCGGUAAUACGUAGGGCGCAAGCGUUGUCCGGAAUUAUUGGGCGUAAAGAGCUCGUAGGCGGCUUGUCACGUCGGAUGUGAAAGCCCGGGGCUUAACCCCGGGUCUGCAUUCGAUACGGGCAGGCUAGAGUGUGGUAGGGGAGAUCGGAAUUCCUGGUGUAGCGGUGAAAUGCGCAGAUAUCAGGAGGAACACCGGUGGCGAAGGCGGAUCUCUGGGCCAUUACUGACGCUGAGGAGCGAAAGCGUGGGGAGCGAACAGGAUUAGAUACCCUGGUAGUCCACGCCGUAAACGUUGGGAACUAGGUGUUGGCGACAUUCCACGUCGUCGGUGCCGCAGCUAACGCAUUAAGUUCCCCGCCUGGGGAGUACGGCCGCAAGGCUAAAACUCAAAGGAAUUGACGGGGGGCCCGCACAAGCAGCGGAGCAUGUGGCUUAAUUUCGACGCAACGCGAAGAACCCUUACCAAGGGCUU
rnacentral:rRNA from 1 species